rfam:Epulopiscium sp. AS2M-Bin002 AS2M_MBin02_11, whole genome shotgun sequence.
UAUAACUAAUAAUUCGAUGUAUGGAAUGAAGGAGUUAAUCGCCCUGAAACAUACACUAUGAUACUCCGAAUAGCAUUGAAAAGUGUUAUAAGCUCGGUAAAGUCGUCUGAGAGUGGCCCCUAACUAUAAAUAUAUAGAGGAAAUGUGAACACUGAAAAGUCAAGGUCAUGAUAGGGCGGUAGUCUAAAAA